rnacentral:rRNA from 1 species
GACGAACGCUGGCGGCGUGCUUAACACAUGCAAGUCGAACGGUAAGGCCCUUCGGGGUACACGAGUGGCGAACGGGUGAGUAACACGUGGGUGAUCUGCCCUGCACUUCGGGAUAAGCCUGGGAAACUGGGUCUAAUACCGGAUAGGACCACUGCCUGCAUGGGUGGUGGUGGAAAGCUUUUGCGGUGUGGGAUGGGCCCGCUGCCUAUCAGCUUGUUGGGGGGGUGAUGGCCUACCAAGGCGACGACGGGUAGCCGGCCUGAGAGGGUGACCGGCCACACUGGGACUGAGAUACGGCCCAGACUCCUACGGGAGGCAGCAGUGGGUAAUAUUGCACAAUGGGCGCAAGCCUGAUGCAGCGACGCCGCGUGAGGGAUGACGGCCUUCGGGUUGUAAACCUCUUUCAGCACCGACGAAGCGCAAGUGACGGUAGGUGCAGAAGAAGGACCGGCCAACUACGUGCCAGCCGCCGCGGUAA